GGAGAGUUGUCCGAGCUGGUCGAAGGAGCACGACUGGAAAUCGUGUAAACGGCAAACACCGUUUCGAGGGUUCGAAUCCCUUGCUCUCCGCCA
rnacentral:tRNA from 1 species